UACAGAGGUCUCAAGCGUUGUUCGGAUUCAUUGGGCGUAAAGGGUGCGUAGGCGGCGCGGUAAGUCGGAUGUGAAAUCUCGGGGCUUAACUCCGAAACUGCAUUCGAUACUGCCGUGCUUGAGGACUGGAGAGGAGACUGGAAUUUACGGUGUAGCGGUGAAAUGCGUAGAUAUCGUAAGGAAGACCAGUGGCGAAGGCGGCUCUCUGGGACGGUACUGACGCUGAGACGCGAAAGCGUGGGGAGCGAACAGG
rnacentral:rRNA from 1 species